ACGGCAGCACGGGAGCAAUCCUGGUGGCGAGUGGCGAACGGGUGAGUAAUAUAUCGGAACGUGCCCAAUCGUGGGGGAUAACGCAGCGAAAGCUGUGCUAAUACCGCAUACGAUCUACGGAUGAAAGCGGGGGACUCAGCAAUGGGCCUCGCGCGAAUGGAGCGGCCGAUAUCAGAUUAGCUAGUUGGUGGGGUAAAGGCUCACCAAGGCGACGAUCUGUAGCUGGUCUGAGAGGACGACCAGCCACACUGGAACUGAGACACGGUCCAGACUCCUACGGGAGGCAGCAGUGGGGAAUUUUGGACAAUGGGCGCAAGCCUGAUCCAGCAAUGCCGCGUGCAGGAUGAAGGCCUUCGGGUUGUAAACUGCUUUUGUACGGAACGAAAAGACUCCUUCUAAUAAAGGGGGUUCAUGACGGUACCGUAAGAAUAAGCACCGGCUAACUACGUGCCAGCAGCCGCGGUAAU
rnacentral:rRNA from 1 species